rnacentral:lncRNA from 1 species
AUGGAGCGGACACGAUCUUCACCACAGGACACAGGAUUGUCAACUCGAAACCAAAGUUUUUGACCUUGACCUUUGACCUAGGAAGUUGUACAUACAAUUGACACACCCUCUGGUGGUUGUUAAAAUGAAUGUCAAGUAUAAACUUUGAAAUCAUAAUGGUUAUCUAGAUAUGGAGCGGACACGAUCUUCACCACAGGACACGGGGUU